AAACACUUUCAAAAGUCAGUCCCAUCAGUAGGUAACUUAAUAAGCGCAAGUUUAAAAUGUUGCAUAAAACUGCUUUAACGUUACUCGCCACUUUUUUUUUUAGCAACGCUGUAAGAAAUGUUGCUUCGAGAUGGCAUAUGCCACCAUCAUCGUGUGAACUGUUUUCAUCGAAAAAUGUAUCGUAUCCUACACCUUCACCGAUCAAUGUUAUCACCAAGGAUGCCAUUGAAGUUGAGACAAAUUCGCCUGUAAUUCUAAAAAACCCACUGCUUAUUCCAUUUACAGUUAAAAAUAGCGGAUAUUCACUUGAAGGUUUUGAUACUCUACCAGCUUUAUUUCGUACCCAUGUAACAACAUUUGGUGGAGUACUAUGCGGCAAUGAGUACCUUUUUUAUAAAAUAAGGUUCAUCGUCAGUGAUGAUCCUAACAAUUCAAGCUACUCACAAAUAGAUGGCAAAGGAUCACCUUUGACUUUGAAUUUAAUCUACUACAAAAAAGAGUACGGCACAUUUGAAGAAUCUCUCAAACAUCGUGAUGGUGUGCUCCAGGAAGACUUUCUGCUUGAUUAUGAAAGUGCUUUUAUGUUGAUUCGGGCUUGAUAACUCUACUUACAUUUAAAUUAAGUAAUACAAAUGAAUCUCUCGUAUUAAUUUUCGCAGGCCGAUGUGUAUAAUGUUUUAUUCGCUCCCGUCCAACUCUUGACAGACUUAUUACUCAUAGAACCAGGAUCACAGGCGAUCGUUCCUUCAGCCCUCGCUUAUGCAUGGUUCGAUAGAUUACCAUUUCUAUUCGGGUACUACGCUUAUUAUGGAUCUUACAUUGAUUUCGAGACUGGCAAACAAUACGAAUGUGCGAUUACCAUAUUGGCUGAUAGGAUUGUUUAUGGACUUGGCAAAGAACAGUUCGAAAAUUCAUUCUUAAAAGUGAAAAAUAUUCAUGGAGGAAAACUAAUUAAUCGACAACCUAUUCAAAAAGUUGGCAAGAGACCAAUUUAUAAAGCCAAAGGGCUGGGUGGAAUAUUUACUCUUUUUUAAUUAGGUAGAGGUAUUUGAAAAAUUAUUUUUCAAAAAUGUGUGUUUACAGUUUCAUUAUUUAGCAAUAAAGAUUUUACUGUCUUA